CAGUCGCCGCGGUAAUACGUAGGUCCCGAGCGUUGUCCGGAUUUAUUGGGCGUAAAGCGAGCGCAGGCGGUUAGAUAAGUCUGAAGUUAAAGGCUGUGGCUUAACCAUAGUACGCUUUGGAAACUGUAUGCCUUGAGUGCAGGAGAGGAAAGCGGAAUUCCCAGUGUAGCGGUGAAAUGCGUAGAUAUUGGGAGGAGCACCAGUGGCGAAGGCGGCUUUCUGGACUAAAACUGACGCUGAGGCACGAAAGUGUGGGUAGCAAACAGGAUUAGAUACCCCCGUAGUCCCUGUCUCUUAUACA
rnacentral:rRNA from 1 species